CCUACGGGGCGCUGCAGUGGGGAAUAUUGGACAAUGGGCGAAAGCCUGAUCCAGCCAUGCCGCGUGUGUGAAGAAGGCCUUCGGGUUGUAAAGCACUUUCAGUGGGGAAGAAAGCCUUAGGGCUAAUACCCUCGAGGAAGGACAUCACCCACAGAAGAAGCACCGGCUAACUCCGUGCCAGCAGCCGCGGUAAUACGGAGGGUGCGAGCGUUAAUCGGAAUUACUGGGCGUAAAGCGCGCGUAGGCGGUCUGAUAAGCCGGUUGUGAAAGCCCCGGGCUCAACCUGGGAACGGCAUCCGGAACUGUCAGGCUAGAGUGCAGGAGAGGAAGGUAGAAUUCCCGGUGUAGCGGUGAAAUGCGUAGAGAUCGGGAGGAAUACCAGUGGCGAAGGCGGCCUUCUGGACUGACACUGACGCUGAGGUGCGAAAGCGUGGGUAGCAAACAGGAUUAGAUACCCUGUAGUC
rnacentral:rRNA from 1 species